rnacentral:rRNA from 1 species
UACGUAGGGGGGCAAGCGUUGUCCGGAUUUAUUGGGCGUAAAGAGCGUGUAGGCGGCUUUACAGGUCCGUUGUGAAAACUCGAGGCUCAACCUCGAGACGUCGGCGGAAACCAUCUGGCUAGAGUCCGGAAGAGGAGAGUGGAAUUCCUGGUGUAGCGGUGAAAUGCGCAGAUAUCAGGAAGAACACCCGUGGCGAAAGCGGCUCUCUGGGACGGUACUGACGCUGAGACGCGAAAGCGUGGGGAGCGAACAGG